UACGGGGGGGGCAAGCGUUGUUCGGAAUUACUGGGCGUAAAGGGCUCGUAGGUGGCCAACUAAGUCGGACGUGAAAUCCCUCAGCUUAACUGGGGAACUGCGUCCGAUACUGGAUGGCUCGAGUUUGGGAGAGGGAUGCGGAAUUCCAGGUGUAGCGGUGAAAUGCGUAGAUAUCUGGAGGAACACCGGUGGCGAAGGCGGCAUCCUGGACCAACACUGACGCUGAGGAGCGAAAGCCAGGGGAGCAAACGGG
rnacentral:rRNA from 1 species